rnacentral:lncRNA from 1 species
UUGAAAACAAUACAUGACCCAAGAGCGUUGAGAAUCGGCUCUAUCUGAAGAAGAAGCUCGUCCGAUUCCAAUUCAAGCGCAAGGUACGUCAAUGCAUGAACAUUUGAAUGCCUUUAAUAAAUUUGGCUAUUUCAAAAUUUAGACGUAGAUUUGAGCGAUGAAGAUAAGCUCUUUUAUGUUAAAUUUCCUUGCCCUGAUACGUAUGAUCAUUUGACCUACUACUUUGCUGUAUGUAAAGAUGAAUUAAGUUUAAACGAUGGUUCAAUGCCUUUGAUUACAACAGUGAGAAAGAAUGAUCAAGAGCUUCACCGGGAAUCAACGUUCAAAUGCAUUGACAGCCGGGGUAAGGACGAGUACCCUCCCCCGAAAAAUCUGAGAGGGGGAUGGAAGUUCGCUCAAAAUCAAGGGGAAAAUCAUCCGAGAGACGGCACUUGCAAAGAUUCGUGUGCCUAUUGUCCUCAAAGGCCACUGGAGAAAGAUUGCCCCAAUAAUAGAAAGUCAAAGAACCAAAGGCCGAACAUAGCCCAUGAUCAGUCGAGAAAGAUGACACUCUCUCCUGCAUUUACUGUUUCUUUGUCUGCUAUCCAUUCUGCGAAUGGAUUCUGGAUUUCUGGUUGUUCCUAUCAUUGUGUCUGUCCCCACAGGGAUUGGUUUCUCGAAGCUUUGAAGAGCUCGAUGGAGGAGUUGUUUCUAAUGGGAAAUGACAACCCCUGCCAAACAUGGGAAUUGGCACAAUCAUAUUGAAGAUGUUCAGUGGACCGUCAAGGUUCUUACGAUUUUCUCUAGGUACGUGAAUUUGAAGAAAAAGCUCAUUUCAUUAGGAAUAUUUUGAUUCGAAGGGGUACAAGAUAUCUUGAAAGGUGGAGUUCUGAAAGUUGUUCGUGGUGCUCGUGUUGUUCCUGAAGGGACUCGUAGAGGGAUCUCUAUUCCUGAUGGGAGUACUGUCACGGGGAAGAGUUGCUAUCCGCGCCAACAGUUCCGACGAUCAGACCUUUUCCAAAUUAUGGCAUAUGCGAGUGGGGCAUACUGAGAACAAGCUUUGCAAACUUUGGUACGUCAAGGAGUUCUGAAAGGAGCUAAUACUGGAAAACUUGAAUUCUGUGAAGCAUUGUGUGCUUGGCAAUCAGACACGGUGAAAAUUUGGCACAACAAUUCAUCAGACUUGAAGGCAUUCUGGAUUAUGUUCACGCUGAUAUUUGGGGGGCCUUCUAAAAAUGCUCUUUGCGAGGUUCACACGCUAUUUUGUAACCUUCGUUGAUGACUUUUCCAGAAGAGUUUGGGUAUACACGUGCGGCACAAGGGAUGAAGUCCGUGAAAUCUUCCAUCUUCUUGAAAUGGAAGAAGAUGAUCGAAACCCAGACUGUAAAAGAUCAAGAAGCUUCAGAUCUGAUAAUGGUGGAGAAUAUCGGUCAAUCCUUUCUUCGAUGUUUGUUACAAAGAUGGAUUGUCAGACACUUUACUAUUAAAGGCACAACCGCAACAGAAUGGAGUUGCGGAAGGAUGAACCGCACCUUGUAAGAUAAGUUCGAUGUAUGAUUGUUGCAAUGCUGUUUGAGCAAAGCCAUUUUUGGGCAGAAGCAAUAACUAUGUCCGCACGACCUCAUCAAAGACUUCCGUCCAAAGCUCUUGAAGGAAAAACUCCUAAAUGGAGGUAUGUCAUGAAAAUGUGUUUCUGAUUAUGAUAGUCUGGCACAUAUUUGGAUGUCCUGCAUACUUUCAUGUAAAAGAAGAUAAGUUAGAUCGCCAAGCUAAGAACGCUAUCUUUGUAGCUUUAGCACUGGUUAAAAGGAUCCAGACUAUGGUGUCCGAAACGAAGACAAUUUGGUUGAACAGUCGGGAUGUCACACUUCGAUGAGUCUGUGAUGUCCUGAAGAAUUCUGAGAAGAAAAUCUGAGUCCAUAUCCACCCAGCAGUGAGUUGUGAUUCCUGAGUGCCGACUACAACUGUUCAGCAUGUUAUAUUCCUGACGGAGGAAUCUGAUGAUAUCGACACUACACCAGAUUUGAAAGAGGCUUAAUCUUCACAACCAGCAGAAUCUAAAUCGCUACGAUUAGGCCACACGAGUGAUCGUAGACCUUCUCGAUAUACUGAGUACUUUGGCAUAUUUUUGCCGCUUCCAUUGAUUGAGGGAGUCCCAUAUACUUACAAAGAAUGCCCGUGCAGGGACUGAAAAUCCAAAAUGGAAGAGGGCCAUGGAUGAAAAAUGAGUCGCUUCACAAGAAUCAGACUUGGGAGUUGUCCAGCUGCCCAAAUGGAAAGAAAUCGAUCGGUUGCAAUUUGAUAUCUUGCAAUAAGGCAAGAUACUCAAGGAAUCAGAUUCAAAGCUAGAUUGGUGGCUAAGGCUAACGCUCAGAAAGAAGAAUAACUACAACGAGGUAUUUUUCUCCUGUUGUAAACGCUUCCGUGCUAUGUAUUUUGCUAGCGUUGUUUGCUCAAUUUUGAUCUUGAGUUAGCUCAACUCGAUGUAAAAACUUCUUUUCUCCAGGAGAUUUGAAGAAAG